rnacentral:lncRNA from 1 species
UGCAGACCCAGCCACAACUGGUAGGGCUGAUUUCUCCAGGACUUAGAGCAGCCGCACAAAUGACCAUGCAUGUGUUCAGUGGAGCAGCAGAGCUCUGGGACAGUCCAGCCUAUGGGAAUCUCAGAGGGAACCAGAGACACAUCCAGAGGAUUGGAGCUCUUGCUUUGAGAAGGACACAAGAACCAGAGUCCAUAAUGACUAAGAUUUGUUCGUGCUGUCUGUCAAAAGAACUCCAUGGGCUGAAAUGGGACAGAAGAGAUGGCAUAAUUCUCAGAGCAAAGAGGGCUUCUCUCCUUAACUCCACAGAGGCGUUCUUUUAG